UACAUAGGUGGCAAGCGUUGUCCGGAAUGACUGGGCGUAAAGGGAGCGUAGGCGGUCCGUUAAGUCAGCGGUAAAAUUGCGGGGCUCAACCCCGGCCCGCCGUUGAAACUGGCAGUCUCGAGUUGGAGAGAAGUAUGCGGAAUGCGCGGUGUAGCGGUGAAAUGCAUAGAUAUCGCGCAGAACUCCGAUUGCGAAGGCAGCAUGCCGGCUCCACACUGACGCUGAGGCACGAAAGCGUGGGUAUCGAACAGG
rnacentral:rRNA from 1 species